rnacentral:rRNA from 1 species
CGGUAGAGAGAGCUUGCUUCUCUUGAGAGCGGCGGACGGGUGAGUCAUCCCUAGGAAUCUGCCUGGUAGUGGGGGAUAACGUUCGGAAACGGACGCUAAUACCGCAUACGUCCUACGGGAGAAAGCAGGGGACCUUCGGGCCUUGCGCUAUCAGAUGAGCCUAGGUCGGAUUAGCUAGUUGGUGAGGUAAUGGCUCACCAAGGCUACGAUCCGUAACUGGUCUGAGAGGAUGAUCAGUCACACUGGAACUGAGACACGGUCCAGACUCCUACGGGAGGCAGCAGUGGGGAAUAUUGGACAAUGGGCGAAAGCCUGAUCCAGCCAUGCCGCGUGUGUGAAGAAGGUCUUCGGAUUGUAAGCACUUUAAGUUGGGAGGAAGGGCAGUAAAUUAAUACUUUGCUGCUUUGACGUUACCGACAGAAUAAGCACCGGCUAACUCUGUGCCAGCAGCCGCGGUAAUACAGAGGGUGCAAGCGUUAAUCGGAAUUACUGGGCGUAAAGCGCGCGUAGGUGGUUUGUUAAGUUGGAUGUGAAAUCCCCGGGCUCAACCUGGGAACUGCAUCCA